UAGCAGUUGCCGCAGUCC
rnacentral:misc_RNA from 1 species